GACGAACGCUGGCGGCGUGCCUAACACAUGCAAGUCGAGCGAGGUGUAUACACCUAGCGGCGGACGGGUGAGUAACACGUGGGUGACCUGCCUCAAAGUGGGGAAUAGCCUCUCGAAAGGGAGAUUAAUACCGCAUAACAUACGCAUAUUUAACGCUGCGUAUCAAAGGAGAAAUCCGCUUUGAGAUGGGCCCGCGGCGCAUUAGCUAGUUGGAGAGGUAACGGCUCACCAAGGCGACGAUGCGUAGCCGACCUGAGAGGUGAUCGGCCACAUUGGAACUGAGACACGGUCCAGACUCCUACGGGAGGCAGCAGUGGGGAAUAUUGCACAAUGGGGGAAACCCUGAUGCAGCAACGCCGCGUGAACGAGAAGGCCUCGGUCGUAAGUACUUGUAUUGGGGACGAUAAUGACGGUACCCGAAAAACAAAGACCACGGCGUAACU
rnacentral:rRNA from 1 species